rnacentral:lncRNA from 1 species
CCGGGAGAUGGAGCACACCCUCUCUGAAAUGGUCAUUCUCCCUUCAAUCAGUAACGUUCAGGUUAAGGGGAAGUCAGAACGGCAGCUCUUCACGAGUCUUCAAAGGCAAGGUGGGCCUAAGCCAUUGAUAAUGACUAAUGACAUAGUCUCAGAGGAGGACAGAAAAAAGAAAUGUGAUGUACGCUAGUUCAACCACAUGAGCCAGAAAUCUUCCAAUCCACAAAUGUUCUUUACCCACUCAGGUAUUGUGGUAGCUCAUGGUUGCCUGUCUGAAUAUUCAUUCUUACUGUGUAACGCUGAGGAAGAUCGUCCCGAGGGCAGACUGAACCGAUGCUCAGGGCUCAUCAUAGAAGUCACUUUGAAAAAUUGCCUGUGUCUCUGAUGGGUUAGUUUCUUUUAGUUUACUGCUUUCUCCAUAAAUGGAACACAGACAAUUAAUCCACUAUGAAACCAAGGUCUAUUUAGUAUCUGGAUGACUGACAUGUGCUCCAACACCCCACUGUCUAGCACUGUUUAAUACUUUUUAAAAAGGACAAAAAUAUAUACUAUGUACUAUAGAGUGUAUGAAAGAACAUGGGAGGUGGAAAAGAAAAUUUAAUAACAACCACUGUUUAUUCAGAUAUUUCUGUAUUGCUACGUAUUGCUAAGUGUUUGCCUGGAUUAUUUCAUUUAGUACAACAGAGAAGCUUAUGAAAGAAAUGUCACAUCGUGGUUGCCCUCACCUCCAAUUUACUGAUAAAGAAAUGGAGGACCAGAAAGGUUGGGAAUUCCCAGGGCCACCCAGCGAGAAGGUGCUGGGGGGCUCAGAUUUGAGUGCAGUUCUAUGUGACUCUGAUUCCGUAAUGCUGGUGAUGGAUGUGCUGUGAAGCGAUGUGUAACAUAAUGGCAUGUAAUAACCUCCUGGUAGAAGGGAAGCUGCACUUUCAAGGCAGGCUGAACUCCCUGAAAGGCCUUUUCUUCAGAAGAGGAAACCACACCAGACGGAGAAGUGACGUUAUACGGAGACCCUUUGGUUGGGCUUGGUCUAGACCCAGCUUCUGAUGGGGUGUGGCCUGGGGCCUGCCAGCCUCUGGGGGGUGCGUGGAGAGGCCAUAAUCCUUGUCAUCGCUGGCUGUAGCUGCUGGAGAGCGGCUGUCAGGCAGCCACUUGGGGUAAGCUGCUGAGAACAGGGGGCUCAUUCUUCUACUCAGCCAGACAUGAGGUGGGAUGGGUGGGAGGCUGGGGCGGAGGACAAGAGUGGUGUUCUGCCCGGGAAGGAGCUGUGUAGACCAAGGGUGAAGAUGAUGUUCUAUGAGGCACUGCCACGCUGCCCCUCCUUGGCUUUCUGAGAAUGACAGUAUUGGUUUAAGUGGGCAAAUGCUGUUAUUUACACAGAGUUCUACCAUGUAUGCCUUCUGAGAUGCUCCAGAGGCACCCACUGGGUGUGCUUGUCACUCUGAGGCGUGAUAAAGGAAACACCAAGCCCAUUGCCUUCACUCAUCCAGUUUAGAGUACGCUGGAGAUAACUAUUUUAACAUAAAUCUUGAACGGUUUAAUGUGAAGCUUUAAAAUUAAGCAAAAGUUACAGUGGAGUAUAGUGGAAAUAUUGUCAUUUACAAGACUGGCAUAACAGAAAGUGUUAUUUCAGAAUAGCAUAAUCCUCUCUCUUUUAAAAUGGAUUUUCCUGAUGCUGCUGCAUCAGAUUGGACCUCAGAUUCCAGAAUCCGCAGCGCUGUCUCACCACUCACUCCCAUGCAAGAGGGCAGCUGUAGGAGUCAAAGGACCUUCUGACAUCCAGAGCCAAUGCUGCCUUUGGCCAGCCAUUGGAACACCGUCAUCAGACAUGGUCCAUGUACUGAUGAGGAACCGUGCUUGGUGCUAAGCAGAGAUGCAUCGCUUCAAGGACAAGAGAGACAGCUGGGAAAAUUGCUCUAGAGGAUUAUAAAGUCACAUCAGAAAUAGAAUCUCUGAGAAAGGGUGGAAGGUAAAAUCAUUUUCCCUUCGUAUAGCAAAUCUCAGCAUCUAAGACCCCCAGAUUUCAAUGGAAAUCCUUUAAAAGAGAUGAUAGAAGAAAAACAUCAGGCACACCUGUUGCAUCAAUAUCACUGAGCUAUGGUAAUAUCCGUGCAGUGACCUCCAGAUGGCCUCGUGACUGAUGGUAGAGAAGCACCUGAAACCCAUUAGAGGAUUUUAUCAUCUUCAUAAAACCUGACCCCAAAGCAAUUUGUCAUUUGCCUUUACAAUGAAAGCAGGAGAAAUUUUUGUAAUAUCUGACAAUAACCAACAUGGACCACGUGGGAAUAAAGAGGAAGACAAGUUGCAGCGGGGGAUGACGUGCCCUUAGCCUGCCCUCUCAUGAAAUUCUCACAGGUUAAAUGAGCUGUGUCACUGUUGGAAGGCAGAAUAAGAAUCAGCAGUUAACGCAUCCAGAGCGAGAGCUGAUCUUCGGCGACAGGUGACAUGAAAAUGCAUUCUGACUUUUUAAGUUUUAUGCUAUGGGAACUAAGACUUUUAGGAGUCACAGGAAGUACAAAAGAACUCGAGAGUGCUCAAGAGAUGCGCUUUAUCAUCCAAGGGAGGAGUUUUCCUUAUUUUAAAUUUAUUAAUAAUUCACCUAAACGUUUCCAGUCUAGGAGUUAUCUAACCAGUCUGUUUGUCUUUCUUGAUGGGAGCCUCUAUCUGUAAGGCUUUUGAACCCUGUGUCUCCUGGUGUGAGAAGAGAAUUUUGAGUUAAAAGACAGCAAGAGAACUUGCCCAAUAUCACCAUCAAACUAGAGACCUAAGCAAGCUGUGGAGACGAACUCCCGUGCCUGUGAGCUGAGACAGGUUUUUCUUAUUGAAAACGUGGGUGCAGGUGUUGGGGGACCCUCACCUUCAGCCCUCCAGUAGUUGGUUGAGAGAGGGUGAACCACUUCUCUAUGAGCAGAUGGAUGACAGCCCUGGCCAUCUUGGGUUUCUCCCUCUGCUUAUACCUAUUUGAUGUGCUAACGAUUGUGUGGGGUUGGGAGUCUAGCAGAGAUUUCCAGAAAGGGGUAAAAAAUCCCAGAAGGGAAAUACAGAACCAACUUUGUCCUUCCACAUCUUCCUGUGCAUGGAAGGAAAAUCCGAGAUUAAGUGGGCAAAUACUUUUAUUUAUAGAGUAUGAAAAGCUUCAUAUGUCCACUGCAGCAUGCACUCAGUGUUCUGUUCAUUUUCUGUUUUCAGGCUUUUCAAAAACUAAUUUCCAAACCACAUAAGCAACACAUUUAGGUAUAUAAACAAAGCAUGAGUAUAAAUUUUCUAAGUAUGCAAAUACAUAGGAAAAGUUUCUGGAAAUCUCUACAGUAGAAUGAUAAUAAUGGCUAACUCGGUAGAAGGGAUGAGAGAGGACGGAUGGAGGAGCCAGGCUGGAGCAGGGGUUGGUCAAAGGGGACUUUUGCCUUAUUUGUAACAUUUUAAUAUUUUACAUGGAGAAGACUUUUUACUCAUUUGCCUUAUUUCUAGAAACCUCUGCAGGCUUGCCAAUUAUUCCUACACCUCAGCAUUCCCCACUUGGGAGUCCAGUUGAAAAAUUCAGAUUUGGGGAGUUGAGUAUAUGCUUUUUGACCAAAGGAUUAUGUUAUUAAUCAAAGAAAGCAGCCUACUGGAGUUCGAUAGAAUCAGAUUGGUAACACUCGCCAUAGAGUCUUUCCACAAAUAGAUAACAAUCCACUCUCUUCCUCCUCCUUGGAGAAUGCCGUUCCAAGGCCUGAUUUCUGGUCCUAAAUAGAAAGCCAUUGUUGCAGGCUCCACUCAGUCUAGUUGCAAGGACAGAUAGGAGGCCUGGAAAGUCCCUCCAUCCACUUAACACAGAACAACUGAUUCUCGGAACCAGAUGGGAAACGGAGGUGGGGCAACACGGAAGCCAGCCAGCUCCCUUCACCUUGGCCUCCCUGCUUCCCAACCAGCUCCUCACUGCUGGAGGCGCCAUGUCCUCCCAGCCUGGCCCAAACCCUGCCCUCCCUCUGGCUCCUACUGCUCUUUUCUAUGCACCUCGUGCUCUAGCCAAAGGAAACCACCUCCUGUUUCCUGAAUGUUCCCAUGCUUUCCCGGAGCAUGCCUUGUUCACGCCUAUUCUUCUGCCCACUGAAAUCCUACUUGUCCUUCAAAGCACAUCUCCAGCGCCAGAGUCUUUCUGAAUCUGCCCAACCAGACGUCAUUUCCUCCUCCUCCGACCCCUGUCCUCAUCCGAAGCUUCUCCACGUCUAGUUAGAAAUGCACGUGUCUCGUUCUCCCUGAGUGAGUGUGAGCCCCGUGAAGGCAGGGGGGUGUUUGAGCUCACAUUCCAUUCCUCUGUCCUUCCCAUAUGCGAGGCCUCAUUCUAGGAUCUGGAGAAAUAAAAAUGGACAAGGAAUUGCCCCAUUCUCCUGGAGCUCAUACUUUGGAGAUUUCGGUAAUUACAAUGCUGUUGGGUUAGGACAAUGUACCCCCAGCUCUCAAAUUCACAGACUCUGUUCACUGGAGGCCCUCUAGGAACACAGGAGCCUGACCUCUUCUUUGCAAACUCUGAAACUUCUCGAAACUGAGAAGAAGACUCAUUCUGCACAGGGUCAAUGGACCCGGGUAGGAUGCCGGAGGGGAGCCCACCUUUCCAGUGGAGAGGGAAGAGAGCAACGUAAAAUGACGCAGAGAUGAGCAAUUCAGUCAUGGAAGCAGAAUCAGUAACUUACCCAUGUGAUCACUGGGGAGACCAAGAAGCAUGCAAGUCUCUCUGCUCCCUGGUGUGUGUGUAUGCAUGUACGUGUGUGUGUAUGCAUGCACGCGUGUGCGUGUACACGUGUGUAUGUGUGUGUGUCUGAAGAGAAACAGCUGUUGGAAACCCAUGGUACUUCAAGUCCUCACAUCGCCUUCCUUCCUGGAUGGGUUGGGGGGCCCAGCUCUGGCCACAGGACUGCUGGGUCCUGUGGGCCCUUCCCACCAGUGGCUUUAAGGCCUGGCCCCCAUUUCAGGGUAGAUGGAAGAUGGAGACUCCAGCCUCCACCUAGCUCCUUGCUGUGGGCACUCUUAAAAACAUAUUUGGCCUUUAGGAGAAUAAAAGAGAAAUGAGAUGGAGCUAGGCUGUGCCCCGGGGAGCUGGCAGGUGAGGGUAGAGAUGAGAAGGAUGUAGUUCUGGCGGUGUCAGUGUCCCAGAGGAGAAAACUGCCACUGGCCUUGUGUAAAGUACCUUGCACGGUAGUCAGGCAUCUGGCUGAGAGUGGACUCUGGAGUCUGAGUGCCUGGGUUCAAAUCCUGGUUCUGUCACCUACUGGCUGGCAGCCCUGUGACAGUUAAUUUAAUGACUCUAGGCUCCAGUUUCUGCAUCUGUGAAAUGGGGACAGUCCAUCCUCAUAAAGUUGCUGUAAAGGCUUAAAUGAAAGUGCUUAGAGCAGCACUUGGCACAGAGUGAGUAAUCCAUAAAUAGUAGCUGUUCUGAUUAGAAUGGGAUGCAAUGAAUCCUAGAUCGCAUCUUCUCCUUCUCAUUAAUCUUGUAUGACCAGACCAAAUUCAGCCAUUGACAAGGAUAGCAUUAAGCACAGUCCACCUGACUAGGGAGUGCUUUUUCCUCCUUUGGACUAAUUCCAAACCUCCCCCACCUCCCCUCAGGCGUCCAGGACCCCCUGUAGUCUCCUUGGCUGGUUAGGUAAGGUACUCCUUCUGGGUACCCAUCCAAGGAUGCCCACACCAGACAGAACUCUAAUUCUGGAGCUAGCGCAACAGCAUUUAUCUACCCCCUUAGAACUUUAUAAACUUAGAGGACAAAAGCAGUGUCUAAUUGCUUCCUUUCUUUUUUUUUUUUUUUCCUUUCACAAAUAUUUUUUAACAGGUUCUUCUUCCGUGUCAGAUGCACAAACAUUUGUUCAUCAUCUGUGUCCUUCUCUAGAAAGCUGUUUUUCUUAGUUGGAAAGGAGCUAGCAUUCAUUCGUGCCCGUGAGUUUCUCCUUUUGGCCUGAAACUCUUGCCUUAUCUAAGUGAUGGUGACAUUUUAGGUGUCGUGUGUUGGCUAGAGAGAGAGACGUUUUCGAGAAGGAGGUAUGAAACUGGUCCAGAACGGUUCCUGCCAGCGCUUGGAUUUCACACCACAAAGGCAACCCGGGACUCUGCUUUUGUAAAAGUCACCGUUGGCACUCAGACCCACUGACCAGGCUCCAUUUCCUGCCAAAGGGGAUUUGACAUAAAAUUAGUGCAACCUCAUUUCAAUCAAUUUUAACCAAUAUUUUUAUAUUCUAAAGCACAAUAUCUGUAAUAUCCUGGAAUAUUGAACAAAAAUGAAAUUUUGGCUUUGGUUUAUACACGUAAGCAUAGAGCAAUUUGGCGCCUUUCUGUUUGGUUUAAUUGCAUUUUUACAAAUAUAAUUUGAUCGCAUUAGAAUAGAUUUGUAAAAGGACAGAUUAGGAAAGACGAGGAUGGCAAGGAGUGAAUAAACCGGGAGAUUGAAGAAAGCUGACAUCAGAAUCGUAAGCACUAUAGUCUACGAGGCAAUUCCUCAUAAGUACUUCAUUUGAGGCUUAGAGGACAUAAGCGUUAUCCGACCCAUUUUAUAGAUGGGAACACUGGGGUGCGGGGGUAUCUGGCUUUCCACGAGGACUUGAAUUUUUAUAGAUGCCAUACUUAGUGCCUAUGCCAUACUGCCUCUCGAAGGAGGUAGUGAGGGUAGAGGCGGACAGGAGACGGGUGCCAACAAGCUUGAGGUGAACACAGAGGGUGCUGGCAUUGGGCCAGCAGGAAACAAAGCCAGAACUGCUGCUGACCAGCUGCCAGCACAGCUGUUAUAACUGCCACACCUCUCUGUGAAGGGCCAAGUGGGCCGGGCUGGCCUGGGCUAUCCUGGUCUGCCUUCAAACCCAGGCUGCAGCCUGCUCUCUGUGGACUUGUCCCAUUGCCCCAUCACCGGGAAAACCAGGAAAAGAUAUUGCUGUCCCCUAAGUGCUGAGAGACCUCCUCCACCUCCACCCCUGCCUCCCGCUUCUGACCUUUUCACCCCAGAGGCACCCUGCAGUGCUCUGCAAUAAAGUUAUGGAUUAUUCAGUGACCGUUCCCCUGCUCUGCUCCUGCUGGCUGACAUUGCUGACCACUGGGCCCUGAGCUGGGUCAGUGCACAGUCUGGAGUGAUCCCUGGUGACGCUGGGAAAUGAACCUACGACCUCUUCUUGCCGAGGGUCAGUGAACUUUCUGGUGGUGCACGGGUCCAUCAGAAAAAAGUCAGCAGGGCCAGCCGGGAAAAGUGCUGACAACUGUGGGCAUUUGCAAAGCAGCCUCCUCACACGGAAGACUGAUAGCUAUCUGUCCUUAUCUCAGCUUUCCCAGCUUCCACAGCCCGGCCCUUUACUUUGAAUAAGCAAAUUGACAUUGAGGUCAUCUUAAAUUAACCAAUCAUAUUCCCCAGGUCAUUUUCUCAAGGAAAGAGUUGAACCCAAAGAAGGGUGUGUAUCCUUUGAAAGGAUCAUAAAUCUAUGCUUCUCUUGGUUUUUCUUUCCAUUUUUCUCUUCCCUGUGUUACGUAUGCUUUUAUACUCAUCCUAUUGUCUUUCAUUUAUAUUUAUUUUUCUAUUUGUAUAUUUAAUUGAAUAUGUAGUCAUACUCUCCUGAUAUAUUUAUAAAUACUACCCUACUUACACAAAUACUAUGUGUUGAGGUACGUGCUCAGAGCUGUUACACAUACAAGGAGAGGUCUUUGCCCCUAGGAGAGUCUGGUUUGAUCAGGCAGCUAGAAUACACGCACAAACAUCCACGCGACAGAUAGGAUGCAAUAAAUAUCACAAAAGGGACAUGAAGACAUUGCUAUCGGAGUAUAGAGGAGAGUAAGUCCGUGUUCAGACUGGACCCACUUUCAGACGAAGUGAUCAGGGAGGCUCAGGAGGUAUGACAUUUGGUCCAUGAACUGACCAUUGAUGACUGAGGUGGCCUGGCACUGGGUUCUUUCGCAGGGUCUGGUGCAAAGUGACACCUCACACAUUCCAGGUAGAAAGAGCAGCGUGAAUAAGAAUGUGGACACAGUGAAUGACAAGCAGCCUCGUUUUCCUUCACUGUUUCUUUUGGCAAAUGUUUAUUGAGCAUCUACUGUGAACCAGGCAGGCAUGGCUCUAGGUGUUGAGGAUCCAGGAAUAAAAUAAACGCACACAGUUCCUGCUGUCACUGGCCUUACCUUCUGGUGGCAGGAGAAAGACACUCAACAAAGAAAACUAUAACAUACCAGGUGGUGUUAGGCACUGAAAAGAAACGCAAAGCAGAAUACAGGGGCAGAGAGUGACAAGGGAAGUGUUAUGUUAAAGAGGGUAGUUGGGAAAACCAUUCUGACAAACCAAAACUUGAUGGAAGAGAGAGAGGCCGCCAUGCAGAUUUCAGGGGCUGAAACCCCAAGGCAGAGGGAAUAACAAGCGUGGAGAGAACACACUGGGUGUGUGUGAGGAGCACAGACGAGCCAAAGGGGCAAGUGUUUGAGGGGGUGAAGUACAGGGGACGAGGCUAGAGAGAGCGUUGGGAUCACAUCCUGUGGGGCUCUGCACACCGUGGUAACGACUUGGUACUUACUCUGACCACUUUGAGCAGAGCAAUGACAUGAUCUCACUCAUACUUCCAGAGGAGACUAGACUGCAAAGUAGGCUGAAGCUGGGAGAUGAGCUAAGAGUCCUAUAGUUUUCCUUUUCCUGGAGCAUGGUGUACAGAUAUUGUGCAUACGGAACUAGUUUAUUUUUCCAGGAAAAAAACCUGGAGGAGUAAUUUGGAACCAGAACAUGGAGGUUCUGCCUUGCGAGCCAAGCCAAUGACAUUUUUGGAGACAGCGAGGAGCCAUUGGAAGAGUUAAGCAGCUAAGUGCUAUGAUUGUUAUUUAGCUUAGAAAAGCUAAACAGGGCUCAGAUUCUAGGACUUGAGGGGUGUGGGUCCUGCUUCUGCCAGUCCCCAGCCCUGAAAUCUUGGGCAACCAUUGAACCACCCUAAACUUUAGUUUCACCAUCUGUAGUUUAUUCAUAUGCUCCUCUCCUCUCUAUACUGCCAAGAGUUAUUAUGAAGAUGAUGUGAUAGGAAUAUAUAUGAAAGCCUUCCAUAAACCAUGACACAGAGAACCAUAGCAAGGAUGAUGAUGAUGGUGAUGGAUUGAAAAGGGGUGCCUGGAUGAAGACUUAUUGGGGAGCUGCUGCCACUGUCCAGGUGACCUGGACAGGCCUGAGAUGAGGUGAUGGGAGUGGGAAUGGGAAGGAAAAAGCAAAUGUCAAAGACAUUGCAAAGGAAGAAUCUACAGCUCUGAGGGAUGGGCGGUGAAUACUCUGUAAGUGCUAUAGUUAGGGUCAAACACUCAAUCCUGCAGCCUGCUGGGAGACUUGUGAGUUCUCAUGCAAGGUUAUAGUUGCCACCAUGGGCUUGCUGCAACGAUGGGCAGAGGGAUAAACAUGGAGGAUCAAAGGCUGGCCCGGUGCAGGAAGGAGCAGCAGAAGAUACACUGGUAUAGGAGAUGUGGGAAUAACUGUCAGAGAGGGAAGAAACCAAAUGAAAAUUGUAGCUUGGGAGAGGGGGCAAAGAAAGGCUGUACAGAAGAUCCCUGGUGAGGUGAGAAAUAUGACAGCUUGGAUAUGAAGAUCAAGGAAUAGGAAAGACUCCAAUGUCAGGGGUUUUAAUAUCAAAGACAAGAAGUGGGAUGAGAGGUAUCAGAAAUGGGGCCACUGGGAAGGGAGGUAGUUUUAGGAGGGAAGAUGCUAAGUUUGGACAUUUUCAGCUUACAGUACCAUCAGGACAGACAAUGAGAGCUAUCUUGUAGGCAGUUGGACACAUGAGAUGGGGCUCAACACAAGUUGAGUUGGUUGAAUUGACUAUAGACACGUAAGGGAUUAAUGCUUGUAAUGAGGGUUUAGAUGGAGUGGGAGAGUAAAUGAAAGGUCCUGGGAAGGAGAUGGGCAGAGGGAAGCGUGCCGAAGAUAGAGACCUGAAGGCACCCACAGGUAAGGUAUGGAAGGAUGAAGAUGAAGGGAGAUGCAGAGGUGACAUAGCAUCAGACAGAGAGAAAGGCUGAGACAUGGAAGGCAAAGGAAUUAUUUUUAAAAGGAUAUAGUGGUCAGAAGUGUCCAAGAUCAUUAUAUAUUAGAAUAUUACUCAGCCGUAAAAAGAUGAAAUCUUGCCAUUUUUGACAACAUGGAUGGACCUGGAGGGUACUAUGCUAAGCGAAAUAAGUCAGACAGAGAAAGCAAAUUCUGUACUAUUUCACUCAUAUGUGGAAGAUAAAAAACAAACAAACAAAAAACAAACACAUAGACACAGAGAACAGAUUGGUGGCUACCAGAGGGGAAGAGUGGGUGGGGGGAGGGCACAAGGGUAACGGGGCACAUUUGUACGAUGAUGGAUGGAAAGUAGACUUCUGGUGGUGAGCAUGAUGUAGUGUAUACAGAAGUUGAAAUAUAAUGAUGUACACCUGAAAUUUAUAUAAUGUUAUAAGCCAAUGUGACCACAAUAAAAAAAAGGUAUCAAAGAUCAAAGAAGGGCUGAGAAGAAGACAACAUCAACCAACCUGCUGAAUUUGAAUUUGGGUCAGAGGGUAGCGGGAGAGCGUGGCCAGGAGAAAGAAAGGAGGAAGAAGGAGGGAGUGGAGGAGAAGCAGGAGGAGUGGAAGGGAGACGGAGACUUUGAAAGGGGAGGUCCCACCUGGAGGUGCAGCGCAAACUUCAGGAAUGGAAGAAGGGACUGAAUGGGUGGACACAGAUUUUAGCAGGAAAAUGGCAGAGUCUGGACAAGAAGGUAGAUAGAUACGGAUUAAGUUUAAGCAAGGGAUAGUUUUCCGGGAUCCCUAAACCUGUUGAUGGAGGAAGGGGAGGAAGACUGCAGGCCUUCAGCGAGUGGCUGGUGUUCCUGAGCACCGAACUGAACAUCCACCCUCUGAGCCAGGACUCAUUCCCCACAGAGCCUUGCAUCUCCACCUCCUUCUGGUGCUUUGGGACGGAAGCUAUACUAAAUUACAAUAAAAUGUCUUAUGUGACUAAAUGUUCCUUUUAAGGUAAACUGACAUAAACAAAUAUUGAUUUAUAACGAGGAAACAAAACCCUUAGCAUCAUGAAAUAAUUUUCUUCCAUCCUUGUGGCCACAUGAGUUGCUGACAAUUCCCAGGACUUGGUAACAGACCUCAUAUUCGGGCCAUUCAUCACAGACGGCUCCAACCGGUCACCUGGUUCCUCACAGCUUUCAUGAAUGGAGCCUCUUGACAUCUCUCAGUUAGAUGGCCCGUAGAUUCCUCAUUUCCAGAAACGAGGCAUCUUGUUUUCAUUAUCAGCUGGUUUACGAAAGAAUUGACUUCCGAGCAGAAUACACCCACGCUCCCUCCCUUGGCGUUUAUUUGGAACCAACAAGCUCUCCUGCUCGGUACCAAGGGAAACAAGAACAUUUGUGAGUCUCUUGUAGUCCGAAACCUUGGACUCGUAGCCACAAUACAAUAAAAAACAUACAGUUUUCCCCUUUGUCUGUGCGAGGUCUUUCAGAACGACGCUCCCCUGUCCUGUGUUUCAUAGCACUAAACAUCAGCCAUUUUCAGAGACUCUGGCAUAUUAUAAGUAUUCUGAGAAUGAACUUAAUGUGUAUUUUAAGCAAGUGUUUCUUUUACUCAACUGUAGUUCAUUAAGGGUUCCUGAGACCAAGUCCUUAUCUAUGUCUACACAGUCUUGAAAGAAAGUGACGCAUUCCUUUCAUAGCUUAGUGAAAAGGAUAAGCGACAAUAACAAAAGGAUCACUUGGCUCACCUGCCAAACCACAGCCCUUUUUCCUUGAACUAAGGAAAGCACAUUGGGAUGGGUGAUUCAUCCAGGCCCUGCGGUCACCAGCUAAUCACACAAUGUGUGUGCUCCGACACUGAAGACAAGAGCUCAAUUCAAAUUCCAUCCUGCUAAUCCCUCGCUCCACCCUGAAGCCCGGUGAAGGACGCCACAGAGUGUCUAGGAACUUUCUGCCCAUGUCUUAGAAGCCUCCUGCCCAUCAAUGAUGCUGACAGCAGGAUUUCACUCUUGCUGCAUGAGAAGGGAGCGAGCCUUCCAGCCUUUCACCAGCUGGCAUGGAAGACCUUGCCUCCCUCCCCCGCCGGGCACCUGUCGACACAUCUGAUGAUAACACUCAGGCCACAGGUGAAUUGUGUUCCUGACUACUGGAUGACAGCUUCUGUCAAAUCCCGGGUGACAGGGCCUCUCCUGUCUUCCCUGCUCCUCGGGGCUGGAGGCUGGAGGCUGGAGGACAGGAUGUCUUUGCCUGGCUAGGAUUCCGACCUCACAGGCAAACUAUCUUUUGCCUGUUUUGAACCAUAUUUGAGGUGCUAUCAUGCUCUCCACUGGGAGAAAGAAAUGUGUUGCUUCCAAAAUAAUUUAUUGGCAAAAGUCUCUCUCACCUAUAUCUAUAGACUAGGGAAUACUUUGAAUUUAAUAUAGAAAGUAAAGUAGAGAAAUGAAGCAAUUAUCCUAGGGGAAAAAGACACUUUUUGUUGGAAACGUUCAAAUAACUAAAGCCAAAAUAUGUAUGUGGGAGGAAAGGGCGCAGUAGAAUUACAGGGAUAACUGUCCCAAUUCAUUGCUUUACUUUGUAUGUGUAGACACAAAAGCGUUCAGUAUUUAAAGUAUCCGUUAUCCUCAAAAAUGAAACCCCAGCCUCUGUGAACUCACUCUAUGUUAGAAGGCAGUGUCCAGAAACACUGGAACCACGCCAGCACCAUUGUUUGCCGUGCAUUUUGGUGUCACUGAAGUCAGAGAGAAAUUUGUUUUGAGGAUAAUGUGCCAUGUUUUUAUGAUGGCGCUUUCACACUGAGGCGUGGGAAGGUGGAAGUUUC